rnacentral:rRNA from 1 species
GUUUACAGCCAUACCACCCUGAAUAUGCCAGAUCUCGUCCAAUCUCGGAAGCUAAGCAGGAUCAGGCUCCAUUAGUACUUGGAUGGAAGACAACAUGGGAAUACCAAGUGCUGUAAGCU